rnacentral:tRNA from 1 species
CAUGGCUUAAUAGUUAGAGUAUUUGGUUUACAAUCAUAAGGUCAUGAGUUCAAUUCUCAAUG